UACGUAGGGUGCGAGCGUUAAUCGGAAUUACUGGGCGUAAAGCGUGUGCAGGCGGUUUUGUAAGCCAGAUGUGAAAGCCCCGGGCUCAACCUGGGAAUGGCAUUUGGGACUGCAAGGCUUGAGUGCGGCAGAGGAGACUGGAAUUCCUGGUGUAGCAGUGAAAUGCGUAGAUAUCGGGAGGAACACCUGCGGUGUAGACGGCUUACUGGACCAUAACUGACGCUGAGGCACGAAAGCGUGGGUAGCAAACAGG
rnacentral:rRNA from 1 species